AGACUUCAUUCUCAUUUGUUAUGUCAGUGUACCAUGAGUUUGAAGCCGUUAUUUUAAGUAAUUGCAUUGGGAUGCUUUAAGCCCACAUUCUGUGGCUCUCAUUAGAUUCGGUGGUUAGUUUGUACCACUUGACAAAUUCAGUAGUGACUUCUUGAGUACAUCUCUGAUACAGUAGGUAGGCUAUAAGAUGUUACAGGUAUAGUGCAACUCCCCCACCUACAUAUAGCAACUCCCCCACCUAGUGGAGUAAAUGCAAUAACUGACAUGCAAUAAGGUUGGCCACUGAACUACUGUAUAACCACAACAAGGAACAAAGGAAAUUGAUGUUUGACAUUUGUUUUGCUUAGAUUUGCUUUCAUUUGUUUAAAUAAGAUUCAGCUAAUGUUAAAAAAAGAUUGGCUUAAUCACAGAAUUAGACAUUCUAUGCUCUCAGCACUGUAAUGUUUACAUCACAGAGGCCUUAAGGUUCCAUUCCAUUGACAUAAUGAAGACUGGACACUAGUUAAAUGGAACACAAAAAGCUUUGUGAUGCAAUUAUGGCAUAAGAUUACAAGAUUCUAAAGCCACAGCUAUCCAUUUCUUAACCAUUCGUGUCUUUUUCACUUGAUGUACAACCUGAUUUACAACUCCUUAUCCAACUACUUGAUAUUUUUCUAAGCUUUGAUUCAAUACCUUCUUGUUGAACUAUAAGGACUUCUGUCAAAACAGUUUCCUGCAUCAUCCCUCAUAAAAAUGAGUGGCAGGAGCAGAAAGAGGAAACAGUCCUCUCGACAGUCUCGACGAGCUGUUCAACUAAACAGCGGCUAUUACUUGCUGUCUAGCCAGGAUGGACCAGGGUCCUCUAUCAGUCACCACACUGAUCUACAGGACCAGUUGAGAGCUGACCCCCUCUUUCUUCUGAGGGGUGAUGUUCUCUUAAGUGAUGAUGAGGACUUAAGAUGGUCCAAGAGGUCCAGACCAAUUGAGUCCACAUUGCCAACCAAUGGCAGAAGGUCCCCACAACCAGGGACCUCACGAGACCUCUAUGCCCACUCAGAAUUGCAACAGAGAGCAAGGUCACCAUCUCCACCAAGGGCAGCCAUACCCAUUGCCACUAUUAGUGAUGGUGAAGAUACUGCACUACCAUCCGUGACAAGGGCAAACACACCUCCAAUCAUCAUGAGUGAUGAUGAUGAUGAUGAUGAAAAUGAACAAGAAAAUGUCAUUUUUGUUGGCAUGCUUCGCCCUCCUCAGGUUGAGCUUGAUUUCUUCCUAGCACGUCAAUUGGACAUAAUCGAAGCCAAUAACCGCCUCCCCAUGAAUGUCACUUAUGACCUUCCCACCAUGAUCUUCAGUGCUGAGUGCGCCAAUGGAAAGAGCGAUUGUGGGAUCUGUCUGAGCGACUAUGUGGAAGGAGAACAGCUCAUGACUCUGCCCUGCAACCACAAUUUCCACAGAAGCUGUGUGAAUCGCUGGCUUCAGCAGAGCCCCACCUGCCCCGUGUGCAGAACACAAAUUCAUUAGAGCACCGCAAACUGAGGGACUAAGAGUUUCAGCCAUGACUACUCAUCAGAAAUUCUAUUUUAAUAAAACAUCCCAAAUAGA